rnacentral:lncRNA from 1 species
GAUAUUCACUUUCUAUAUUUUCAAUGAAGUUGAUGCCUUGGUCUUUGCUGGUGUAAGGUUCCCCCCAGAACUUGGCCACUUUUUCAUCAGUCUGCCACACCAUUACAUCAUCAAGGUCAGAAAGAUUAAAGGAUCGGAGUGUGAUUUGGUUCAAAUCGAUGAUCUCUUCUUCUUUGGCACAUGGUUUGGAGGAAAUAAAAGUUUCUUCCAUAACUUGUGUUUCUUUUAUGAGUUUAUUUGGAUGCAUUCAACAAGUGUUUAUUUUUAGGCUAUUUAUAAAUAAAGUCAUGGAGAUGAAAAAAAGGAAGUUGCACGGAAGAAAGGUCGAAGUUGGGAUCAAGCAAGAAAGUGAAGUAAUGGAUUUCAAGGCUGCUUCAUGUCUCUGCCUACCUUGGUUGACUUGAAUAUGCAUUAAAUGGGAUCCAAACCUAUGAAGCUCACAUCCAUGAAAAUGAAAGUAUUGUAGUUCUUUAUAUAUGCUAGCAAAAACUAUAUAUAUAAUUGUUUUUAUUCUUGUAAAGAAAAAUAAAUUGAUCAUCAUUCCUGUGUAUCUUGUACGGUUCUAUUUAUAUAUAUAUUAAAGUGUUAUUGAAAAACAAUUACAAUAAUUUUUUUUUUUUGUCUUCUUUCCGAAUGUGCAACAAGUGGGGUUUUGGCACUCCUUGUGCUGAAAUCUCCAAAUUUUCAGUAAUAUAAUCCAUUUUAACUUUUUCAAAAAAAAAUGAAUUUGAUAAUUCUAAGUUGUGCUUUGGCUCUAAUGAUAGUUAAGAAGUUUGUUUUUUUAAUACCGAUACUAUAUGCACUAUAUGCUGUUAGAAAGAAAAAAAAAACCAUAUGGACUAUAGUUUAAAAAUAUUAUCCAAUGGAUUUCAUGAGAUAUUGAAAAAUUAUAGAUAUGCAACAAGUGAUUUUAGUUGUUUUGUGAUUCAAGAGAUGGCUUGUGGGAUGGGUUUCUAAAGAGCAGAAACAGGAUGGAUAGGCAUCACUGCAUCAAUUACGGUGGUCUCUAAUCUAUAGCUAAGCUACUAGUGUCUAAUAAUUUGAUAAUUUCAACACCAUUUUUAUGUAUAUCAUUUACAUCUUCACUAAUCUACCACAAUUUUAUAUACCUUUGAUCUUCCUAGGAUGCACCUUAUAGACCUAAGCAUAAGCAGCACCUUAUAGAGAUUACUCAUAAUAUAAUAUCUAAGAGUGUGUUUGGAUGGGGAAAUGUUUUGAGGGAAUGUAUUGUUUUGAGGGAAUUCAAAUACUUUGGGGUGAAUUCCAUUGUUUGGAUAAUAAUUUGAAGCAUUUUCAAAAUAUGGAAAUUUAUGAAGUAUUUUGUUCAAGUUAAAUUUAGAGGAUUUCAAAUGACACCUAAAAGCUAAGAAUUUCAAAUUUCUUCAUUGUUGUUAUUUUUCAUAUUUUGCAUUUUGGUCCUCAAAUUUUCCAAAAAUUUCAAAUUGACCCCAAUAAAUUUCCAAAAAUUGCAAAUUGGUCCCUCAAUUUUUUCAAAAAUUAUAAUUUGACCCCUCAAAUUUUUAAAAUUUACAUUUUGACCCCUAAUUUCAAUUUUCAAAUUUGACCCAAAAAAAUUAAAAUUUAUAAAAGUUGUCCAAAAAUGAUGACAAUGAAUUUUUUUAUUACUUCAUCCAAACAAAAGAAUUGAGAAAUGAAAGUAAUUUAAUUAAAUCAUUUAAAUUGUCUAGAAUUCUAAAUUCUUUAAAAUUUCUCAAUUACCUCAUUCAAACACACUCUAAAACUGUUUUAACUUCGCUUGCCUAUUACUUUCCUUUCUUAACAAGGCAAACCUCAAAUAUCACAAAAAAAGAAAAAUGUAAUACAUCAGAAUUGAUUCUAAAGAUAGAUUUCAAUAUUAAAAGAAAAUUAUGAUUGAAAAAUGAAACGUAUUAAAGUUGGAAACUCAAGGAGGCCAAGAUGCCUAAGGGUGAAUAUUUUCCUAUGAUUUCCAAACAAAUGAAUCAUAGUUGGAGAUCAUUAGAAAGAACACUAAACAUGAUCAUAUCUCUGCUUUUUCCUUUCAUGACCAAAUACUUCCUAAGAGUUCCCUCCUUUUGGAAACCAGCUUUCUCCAAAACCCUUUGAGACCCAACAUUUUCCACAUCAACAAGAGCUUCAAGCCUUUCCAAGUACGAAAAUUCAUCGAAUGCAAUCUUAACAAUUUGUUUCACAGCACAUGUGACAAUCCCUUUACCCCAAUAUUUAGAGCUUAGAUUAUAGCCAAGUUCUGCAGAUUGUUUCCUGCUUUUAUCUUCAGGUGUGAACAAAAGAACACAGCCAAUAGCACGAUCAUUAAUGCAUAUUGCUUUGCAACAAAGAAACUUGCUUUCUAUACUUUCUAUGAAGUUGAUGCCAUCUUCUCUGCUGGUGUAAGGUUCCCAAGAGCAGAACUUGGCCACCUUUUCAUCAGUAUGCCACACCAUUACAUCAUCAAGGUCAGAAAGAUUAAAGGAUCGGAGUGUGAUUUGGUUCAAAUCAAUGAUUUCUUCUUUGCCACAUGGUUUUGAAGAAAUAAAAGUUUCCUCCAUCACAG